UCAAGCGGCCGCUUCUGCAGCCACAUGGCAUUUCUUCAUGACCAUCAGCAGGUACGGGAUUUCUUCAGGAUGAUGACACUGCUCAGACCAUAUCUGCAUGGAGAGAACACAUACAAACUUCUCCUGAGAUUGUGACUUAGCUAAAUGUUAAUUUACUGUUGAAUAAUAAUUUGGGGGAAUUCUGCAUUGCGCCUGAAUGAAAACUGACAAUGAAUGGAUAUGCACUUAAAAGACUAUAAAAACCUUGUCAGCAUGAAUGUAGACGUCCAGGAGUGAUUUAGUAGGAUGUACCCUAAACUAUGGAAAACAAACAUCUGAUGGAGAAGUGUUGUUCUGAAAAAAUGGGUUCAUAACUUCAUAUGCUAAACUGAAACCAUGCAUAUUUGAAUAGCAGGAUUAGAGGGUUUUUUAUUCAGAAUCUAGAGUUUGUUCGGCAUUGCAUCAUCAAGUAAAAGAUUGUAGUUUGUAUUCCUCAUGUGUGCUACACUUGCAGGGUCAGAGUUGGUAGCCAUCCCUUGGACAGGGCGCUCUAGGGCGUUUUGGCAUGCUUGAGCAGACGAAACGCUGAUGUUAGCUGCGAGGUGAAGAAGGAAUACGCCAUGGAUGGAUUUUGGUAGCUCUGAUAACAACAGUUUCAACUUAGUAAGUCAUAUGCUGAUAUUCAUAUGACUGUGAUCUCGGAAAUAAAAGUUCAUAGGAAAGGAACAGAAACCUUCACUGAACAUAGAGCUGUGUUGUACCUAUACCGAGAAAAGUUUGUAGCGUAUGAAAAUAUGUUUCGAGACGAAACAAUUUAUGAUUAUUAGUCAUAGCAGUUGUAGGAAC
rnacentral:lncRNA from 1 species